AUCUUUGUUUGCCAGCACAUAAUGGUGGGACUCCAGGAGACUGCCGUGAUUAACCGGAGGAAGGUGGGGACGACGUCAAGUCAUCAUGGCCCUUACGAGUAGGGCUACACACGUGCUACAAUGGCAGAUACAGAGGGCAGCGAGACAGCGAUGUUUAGCGAAUCCCUUAAAGUUUGUCGUAGUCCGGAUUGGAGUCUGCAACUCGACUCCAUGAAGUCGGAAUCGCUAGUAAUCGUGGAUCAGAAUGCCACGGUGAAUACGUUCCCGGGCCUUGUACACACCGCCCGUCACACCAUGGGAGUGGGCUGCACCAGAAGUAGAUAGCUUAACCUUCGGGAGGGCGUUUACCACGGUGUGGUUCAUGAC
rnacentral:rRNA from 1 species